rnacentral:tRNA from 1 species
UGGGGUUUUAGCUCAGUGGUAGAGCUCUUGCCUCGCACAUGCGAGAGCCUGAGUUCAAUCCUCAGCACCACAU